GACGAACGCUGGCGGCGUGCUUAACACAUGCAAGUCGAACGAUGAACCCGGAGCUUGCUCCGGUGGAUUAGUGGCGAACGGGUGAGUAACACGUGAGUAACCUGCCCUUGACUCUGGGAUAACUGCGGGAAACUGGGUCUAAUACCGGAUAGGACCACUGCCUGCAUGGGUGGUGGUGGAAAGCUUUUGCGGUGUGGGAUGGGCCCGCGGCCUAUCAGCUUGUUGGUGGGGUGAUGGCCUACCAAGGCGACGACGGGUAGCCGGCCCGAGAGGGUGACCGGCCACACUGGGACUGAGAUACGGCCCAGACUCCUACGGGAGGCAGCAGUGGGGAAUAUUGCACAAUGGGCGCAAGCCUGAUGCAGCGACGCCGCGUGAGGGAUGACGGCCUUCGGGUUGUAAACCUCUUUCAGCACCGACGAAGCGCAAGUGACGGUAGGUGCAGAAGAAGGACCGGCCAACUACGUGCCAGCCGCCGCCGUAA
rnacentral:rRNA from 1 species